rnacentral:rRNA from 1 species
GAUGAACGCUGGCGGCGUGCCUAACACAUGCAAGUCGAACGAAGCAAUUAGAAUGAAGUUUUCGGAUGGAUUUUUAAUUGACUGAGUGGCGGACGGGUGAGUAACGCGUGGAUAACCUGCCUCACACUGGGGGAUAACAGUUAGAAAUGACUGCUAAUACCGCAUAAGCGCACGCUACCGCAUGGUAGCGUGUGAAAAACUCCGGUGGUGUGAGAUGGAUCCGCGUCUGAUUAGCCAGUUGGCGGGGUAACGGCCCACCAAAGCGACGAUCAGUAGCCGACCUGAGAGGGUGACCGGCCACAUUGGGACUGAGACACGGCCCAAACUCCUACGGGAGGCAGCAGUGGGGAAUAUUGCACAAUGGGCGAAAGCCUGAUGCAGCGACGCCGCGUGAGUGAAGAAGUAUUUCGGUAUGUAAAGCUCUAUCAGCAGGGAAGAAAAUGACGGUACCUGACUAAGAAGCCCCGGCUAACUACGUGCCAGCAGCCGCGGUAAUACGUAGGGGGCAAGCGUUAUCCGGAUUUACUGGGUGUAAAGGGAGCGUAGACGGCGAAGCAAGUCUGAAGUGAAAACCCAGGGCUCAACCCUGGGACUGCUUUGGAAACUGUUUUGCUAGAGUGUCGGAGAGGUAAGUGGAAUUCCUAGUGUAGCGGUGAAAUGCGUAGAUAUUAGGAGGAACACCAGUGGCGAAGGCGGCUUACUGGACGAUAACUGACGUUGAGGCUCGAAAGCGUGNGGAGCAAACAGG